rnacentral:rRNA from 1 species
AGACGUCUACAUUAGAUACCCCCGUAGUCCCAGCCGUAAACUAUGCGCGUUAGGUGUAUCGGUGACCACGAGUCACCGGGGUGCCGAAGGGAAACCGUGAAACGUGCCGCCUGGGAAGUACGGUCGCAAGGCUGAAACUUAAAGGAAUUGGUGGGGGAGCACCACAACGGGUGGAGCCUGCGGUUUAAUUGGACUCAACGCCGGAAAUCUCACCGGAUAGGACAGACAUAUGAUAGUCGGGCUGAAGACUCUACUUGAUGAUCUG